CAAUUGCUGGCCUUUAUCUAGCACUUACUGUGUGCCCAGUACUACAAAGAUCUUUGGAUUUAAUUAUCUCAUUUAAUUAUCCCAAUAACCCUUUGAGGUGGGGGCUGUUAUUAUUCCCCAUUUACAAAUGAGAAACCUUAGAAAGGGAAGGUCAUGUACUUUCAAGGGGUAGAACCCGUGAUGUGAAUCUUAGUCUGUUUGGGCUGCUAUAACAAAAAAACACCAUCAACUGCAUGGCUUAUAAUCAACAACCACUUACUUCUCACAGUUCCAGUGGCUGUGACAUCAGCAAAUUCAGUAUCUGAUAAGGGCCUACUUUCUGGUUCACAGAUAGCAUCUCCUCACUGUGUCCUCACGUAGUAGAAGGGGUGAGGGGUCUCUCUAGAGCCUCUUUUACAAAGGUACUAAUCACAUUCAUGAGGGCUCACCCUUAUGACCUGUCACCUCCAAAAGGCCCCACCUCCUAAUACCAUCACUUUGGGGGUUAGGAUUUCAAUGUAUGAAUUUGGGAGGGGUGCAGAUCACAGACAUCCAGGCCAUGGCAGAACCAAAGGACUCUGACCUGAAAGUCUGUAUGCUUACACCAUAGAGUGUUCUAGUAAUAACAGUGACAGUUAUUAUUACUGUUUUAAUGAUGGAUUCCUGUUACCUAGCUGACAACUCUGAGGCUCAGAGAGCAUGAGUGAAUUGUCCAACGUUGUUUUUGGCAGAGCCGAGCUGCAAAGCCAGGUCCCAAGAGUGCCGAGUCUGUGCUCUUUCUUCUACACUUGCUUAAAAUGGAAUCCUUUUUGUCCUGCUUCCUGCAGAAACAGAGCUAGAUGGAAAAGGGCCCAGGAGACUGGGGAGGAGCGUGGGAAGGGGGGAAAUUAUUGCUGGUGCCUGGAAGUUUUCACAAGCGUGGAUUUCCCCUGGUUGGUUGAAGACUAGAUCAGAAUCUCUCCAGAGUCUGCUGUGAAGAUGCUGUGGAAUUCCUGGUGUGUCUGAUGAGGUGUUGCUGCGCCGAGGCUGUCAGACAGCUGGCUCUCUGAGAAAACCUCCAGACCCUGUUGCUGCCCCAAGGAAUGAGAUUUGUAGUUAUGCAAGCCAGGAGAAUCCCACUGAUUUGCUCUUUUACAGGUAGAGGUACCAGAAAAACCCAAUCUGCCACAUAACCAGAGGGGAAACAUAUAAAGAAUCAGAGCCUUGCUCUGUCACCCAGGCUGGAGUGCAAUGGCGCG
rnacentral:lncRNA from 1 species